rnacentral:rRNA from 1 species
CGACCGGCGCACGGGUGAGUAACACGUAUCCAACCUGCCGCUUACUCGGGGAUAGCCUUUCGAAAGAAAGAUUAAUACCCGAUGGUAUAAAGAGUUCGCAUGUUCUCUUUAUUAAAGAAUUUCGGUAAGCGAUGGGGAUGCGUUCCAUUAGAUAGUUGGCGGGGUAACGGCCCACCAAGUCUACGAUGGAUAGGGGUUCUGAGAGGAAGGUCCCCCACAUUGGAACUGAGACACGGUCCAAACUCCUACGGGAGGCAGCAGUGAGGAAUAUUGGUCAAUGGACGAGAGUCUGAACCAGCCAAAGUAGCGUGAAGGAUGACUGCCCUAUGGGUUGUAAACUUCUUUUAUAAGGGAAUAAAGUGAGGGACGUGUCCCUUUUUGUAUGUACCUUAUGAAUAAGGAUCGGCUAACUCCGUGCCAGCCGCCGC